rnacentral:rRNA from 1 species
AGUGAACGCUGGCGGUAGGCCUAACACAUGCAAGUCGAACGGCAGCACAGCAAGAGCUUGCUCUUACGGGUGGCGAGUGGCGGACGGGUGAGGAAUACAUCGGAAUCUACUUUUUCGUGGGGGAUAACGUAGGGAAACUUACGCUAAUACCGCAUACGACCUACGGGUGAAAGCAGGGGAUCUUCGGACCUUGCGCGACUGAAUGAGCCGAUGUCGGAUUAGCUAGUUGGCGGGGUAAAGGCCCACCAAGGCGACGAUCCGUAGCUGGUCUGAGAGGAUGAUCAGCCACACUGGAGCUGAGACACGGUCCAGACUCCUACGGGAGGCAGCAGUGGGGAAUAUUGGACAAUGGGCGCAAGCCUGAUCCAGCCAUACCGCGUGGGUGAAGAAGGCCUUCGGGUUGUAAAGCCCUUUUGUUGGGAAAGAAAAGCAGCAGGUUAAUACCCCGCUGUUCUGACGGUACCCAAAGAAUAAGCACCGGCUAACUUCGUG